rnacentral:rRNA from 1 species
CCCUUAGAUGUUCUGGGCCGCACGCGUGCUACACUGAGUGGAUCAGCGGGUCAGGUUGCGCGAAAGUGUUUCCUAAUCUUUAAAUCCGCUCGUGAUGGGGAUUGACGGUUGCAAUUUUCCGUCAUGAACGAGGAAUACCUUGUAAGCGCGGGUCAUCAUCCCGCGCUGAAUACGUCCCUGCCCUUUGUACACACCGCCCGUCGCUCCUACCGAUUGAGUGGUCCGGUGAGGCUUUGGGAUCUGAGCGGAAAGAGCGUUUCGCUGUUUCUGCCCGGAAAACUCAGUCGAACCUUAUCAUUUUGAGGAAGGAGAAGUCGUAACA